rnacentral:rRNA from 1 species
GACGAACGCUGGCGGCGUGCCUAAUACAUGCAAGUCGAACGAGAGCAACCGGUGCUUGCACUGGUCAAUCUAGUGGCGAACGGGUGAGUAACACGUGGGUAACCUGCCCAUCAGAGGGGGAUAACAUCCGGAAACGGAUGCUAAAGCCGCAUAGGUCUUCGAACCGCAUGGUUUGAAGAGGAAAAGAGGCGCAAGCUUCUGCUGAUGGAUGGACCCGCGGUGCAUUAGCUAGUUGGUGAGGUAACGGCUCACCAAGGCCGUGAUGCAUAGCCGACCUGAGAGGGUGAUCGGCCACAUUGGGACUGAGACACGGCCCAAACUCCUACGGGAGGCAGCAGUAGGGAAUCUUCCGCAAUGGACGCAAGUCUGACGGAGCAACGCCGCGUGAGUGAAGAAGGUUUUCGGAUCGUAAAACUCUGUUGUUAGAGAAGAACAAGUGCUAGAGUAACUGUUAGCGCCUUGACGGUAUCUAACCAGAAAGCCACGGCUAACUACGUG